CACCACUCAAGCCUGGCUUGGUAUUGGGCGCCGCGGUCUCCCCCGCGCGCCCCAAUGUCUUCGGCCGAGCCGUCCGUCUCUAAGCGUUGUGGCAUUUUCAUUCGCUUGCGAGGCCGGACGCGUUCGCCGCCGCUAAACAUCAUAUGAACAA
rnacentral:misc_RNA from 1 species